rnacentral:rRNA from 1 species
UACGUAGGGUGCGAGCGUUGUCCGGAAUUAUUGGGCGUAAAGAGCUCGUAGGCGGCCUGUUGCGUCCGCUGUGAAAGCCCGGGGCUUAACCCCGGGUCGGCAGUGGAUACGGGGCAGACUAGAGUGUGGUAGGGGAGACUGGAAUUCCUGGUGUAGCGGUGAAAUGCGCAGAUAUCAGGAGGAACACCGAUGGCGAAGGCAGGUCUCUGGGCCACUACUGACGCUGAGAAGCGAAAGCAUGGGGAGCGAACAGG